rnacentral:rRNA from 1 species
GACGAACGCUGGCGGCGUGCUUAACACAUGCAAGUCGAACGGAAAGGCCCUGCUUUUGUGGGGUGCUCGAGUGGCGAACGGGUGAGUAACACGUGAGUAACCUGCCCUUGACUUUGGGAUAACUUCAGACAACUGGGGCUAAUACCGGAUAGGAGCUCCUGCUGCAUGGUGGGGGUUGGAAAGUUUCGGCGGUUGGGGAUGGACUCGGGGCUUAUCAGCUUGUUGGUGGGGUAGUGGCUUACCAAGGCUUUGACGGGUAGCCGGCCUGAGAGGGUGACCGGCCAUAUUGGGACUGAGGUACGGCCCAGACUCCUACGGGAGGCAGCAGGGGGGAAUAUUGCACAAUGGGCGGAAGCCUGAUGCAGCAACGCCGCGUUCGGGAUGACGGCUAUCGGGUUGUAAACCGCUUUCGCCUGUGACGAAGCGGGAGUGACGGUAAUGGGUAAAGAAGCACCGGCUAACUACGUG